rnacentral:misc_RNA from 1 species
UCUCCGUUGGUGAACCAGCGGAGGGAUCAUUAACGAGUUUUUCAAACUCCCAAAACCUUUGUGAACUUACCACUUGUUGCCUCGACAGUUAACUAUCCGGUUGUCUACAGCUUCAUUGCUGUUAGACAGCUUGCCGCUUACCCGGUAACUCUGCGGAUAGUCUGUCGGUGGACUACUUUAAAACUCUUGUUUUUAUAAUGCCAAUCUGAAUUUUUAUACUUAAUAAGUUAAAACUUUCAACAACGGAUCUCUUGGUUCUGGCAUCGAUGAAGAACGCAGC